rnacentral:tRNA from 1 species
GCCUGGGUGGCUUAGUUGGUUAAGCAUCAGACUCUUGAUCUCAGCUCAGGUCUCAGUCUCUGGGUCAUGAGUUCAAGCCCCAUACUGGGCU